rnacentral:rRNA from 1 species
GACGAACGCUGGCGGCGUGCCUAAUACAUGCAAGUUGAGCGAUGAAGCUUGGUGCUUGCACCAAUUUGAAGAGCAGCGAACGGGUGAGUAACGCGUGGGGAAUCUGCCUUUGAGCGGGGGACAACAUUUGGAAACGAAUGCUAAUACCGCAUAAUAACUUUAAACAUAAGUUUUAAGUUUGAAAGAUGCAAUUGCAUCACUCAAAGAUGAUCCCGCGUUGUAUUAGCUAGUUGGUGAGGUAAAGGCUCACCAAGGCGAUGAUACAUAGCCGACCUGAGAGGGUGAUCGGCCACAUUGGGACUGAGACACGGCCCAAACUCCUACGGGAGGCAGCAGUAGGGAAUCUUCGGCAAUGGACGAAAGUCUGACCGAGCAACGCCGCGUGAGUGAAGAAGGUUUUCGGAUCGUAAAACUCGGUUGGUAGAGAAGAACGUUGGUGAGAGUGGAAAGCUCAUCAAGUGACGGUAACUACCCAGAAAGGGACGGCUAACUACGUG